rnacentral:lncRNA from 1 species
GGACUGUAGGUUUUGGUUUUUCAUCUUACAUGUUAUAAGAAAAAAAAAAAAGCUGAUAAUGCUGAGGACUGGGUAUUGAUUUGAAACACAAUCUGGUAUCAGGAAACUGUAUUCAGUCUUCCAGUCAGUGUAUAUAACAUUAUCUGCCACCUCCCAGCCAUGGCAAUGGCUGCACCUGAUCCAUCCUCAUGAGAACUCACAGCUUUGUGAUCUGGUAAGAAGUUUUCUGUGGAGAAGAUACAAGUGUAAGAGUGCAUCAGAAGGUUUAAAUCAUCAUGUUAACUUUCUACACAAACUGUAAAUUGUGCAAAAAAAAAAGUUGGAUUUAUGCACAACUAUCUUGAUUUUUCUUGUUUUUUUUUUUUUUUGCUGUGAAAUGCACUGAGAUCUCGAUGCGAGUCAUAGUCCCUUUGUGAGAAUUGGGGGUGGGGAUAAUAAAAGUACAAAAUGAUUCGUUUGUUCUGUUUGCUUUACCUAGAGAUCAGGUGGCCAGGAAGAGUAGAUUGUUGUCUUUUAUGCUGGAGAUCUGUCUGUGUGGGCUUUUGCAGGCCCUUAUAGCAGGAUAUUUUGGCACUGUGCACUUCAGUAGUAACUGUAUUCUCCAGCAGAAGAAUGUGUUUUGGACCCCGCUGUCUUGUUUGUGAUAUUCUAUACGAUUACCCUGUCUUCAUUUUUGGAUACCUACUGGGCAUUUUCAUGUUCAACC